rnacentral:rRNA from 1 species
UACGUAGGGUGCGAGCGUUAAUCGGAAUUACUGGGCGUAAAGGGCGCGUAGGUUGUUUGUUAAGUGUGAUGUGAAAGCCCUGGCUCAACCUAGGAAUUGCAUCUUAUACUGAUGAACUAGAGUACUGUAGAGGGUAGUGGAAUUUCCGGUGUAGCGGUGAAAUGCGUAGAUAUCGGAAGGAACACCAGUGGCGAAGGCGGCGACCUGGACAGAUACUGACACUGAGGCGCGAGAGCGUGGGGAGCAAACAGG